UACGGAGGGUGCGAGCGUUAUCCGGAAUUACUGGGUUUAAAGGGUGCGUAGGCGGCUUUGUAAGUCAGGAGUGAAAGUUUGCGGCUCAACCGUAAAAUUGCUUUUGAUACUGCAAGGCUAGAAUCAGGAUGAGGUUAGCGGGAUGUGGCAUGUAGCGGUGAAAUGCAUAGAUAUGCCAUAGAACACCAAUUGCGAAGGCAGCUGGCUAGACCUGUAUUGACGCUGAGGCACGAAAGCGUGGGGAGCGAACAGG
rnacentral:rRNA from 1 species